GUCGCUUAGCUUUGUGGUUAGAGCUUAGGGCUUGUGACCACGAGGUCCCAAGUUCGAAUCUUGUCAGAGGCA
rnacentral:tRNA from 1 species